rnacentral:rRNA from 1 species
UACGUAGGUGGCAAGCGUUGUCCGGAUUUAUUGGGUUUAAAGGGUGCGUAGGCGGCUUAUUAAGUCAGUGGUGAAAUACUCUAGCUCAACUAGAGGGGUGCCAUUGAUACUGAUGAGCUUGAGUACAGAUGAGGUAGGCGGAAUUGACGGUGUAGCGGUGAAAUGCUUAGAUAUCGUCAAGAACACCUAUAGCGAAGGCAGCUUACUAGGCUGUAACUGACGCUGAGGCACGAAAGUG